rnacentral:rRNA from 1 species
UACACUCCUACGGGAGGCAGCAGUGGGGAAUUUUGGACAAUGGGCGAAAGCCUGAUCCAGCAAUGCCGCGUGAGUGAAGAAGGCCUUCGGGUUGUAAAGCUCUUUUGUCAGGGAAGAAACGGUGAGAGCUAAUAUCUCUUGCUAAUGACGGUACCUGAAGAAUAAGCACAGGCUAACUACGUGCCAGCAGCCGCGGUAAUACGUAGGGUGCAAGCGGUAAUCGGAAUUACUGGGCGUAAAGCGUGCGCAGGCGGUUUUGUAAGUCUGAUGUGAAAUCCCCGGGCUCAACCUGGGAAUUGCAUUGGGGACUGCAAGGCUAGAAUCUGGCAGAGUGGGGUAGAAUUCCACGUGUAGCAGUGAAUUGCGUAGAUAUGUGGAGGAACACCGAUGGCGAAGGCAGCCCCCUGGGUCAAGAUUUACGCUCAUGCACGAAAGCGUGGGGAGCAAACAGGAUUAGAAACCCCUGUAGUCCC